UACGAAGGGGGCUAGCGUUGUCCGGAAUUACUGGGCGUAAAGGGCGCGCAGGCGGCCCUCCAAGUCAGGCGUGAAAGCCCCGGGCUCAACCUGGGAACCGCGCUUGAGACUGGCAUGCUCGAGUUCGGGAGAGGAUGGUGGAAUUCCCAGUGUAGAGGUGAAAUUCGUAGAUAUUGGAAAGAACACCGAUGGCGAAGGCAGCCAUCUGGACCGACACUGACGCUGAGGCGCGAAAGCGUGGGGAGCAAACAGG
rnacentral:rRNA from 1 species